rnacentral:rRNA from 1 species
CUUACGCGAGGCAGCAGUGGGGAAUCCAGCACAAUGGAGGCAAUCGCCUGAUCUAGCCAUGCCGCGUGAGUGAUGAAGGCCUUCGGGUUGUAAACCUCUUUUUUCUGGGAAGAAAAUGUCAGUACUAGUAGAAGAAUGCCCGGCUAUUUCCUUGCCAGCAGCCGCGGUAUU